rnacentral:misc_RNA from 1 species
GAUGAAGAACGUAGUGAAAUGCGAUAAGUGAUGUGAAUUGCAGAAUUCAGUGAAUCAUCGAAUCUUUGAACGCACAUUGCGCCCCUUGGUAUUCCGAGGGGCAUGCCCGUUCGAGCGUCAUUAUACCCCUCAAGCCUAGCUUGGUGUUGGGGCCUGCUGUUACCGGCAGCCCUUAAAAUCAGUGGCGGUGCCAUCUGGCUCUAAGCGUAGUAAUACUUCUCGCUACAGGGUCCCGGUGGAUGCUUGCCAUCAACCCCUAAUUUUCUAUGGUUGACCUCGGAUCGGGUAGGGAUACCCGCUGAACUUAAGCAUAUCAAUAAGCGGAGGA